ACGAACGCUGGCGGCGUGCCUAACACAUGCAAGUCGAACGGACGAGGAGGAGCUUGCUUCUCCAAGUCAGUGGCGGACGGGUGAGUAACGCGUGAGUAACCUGCCCUUCAGAGGGGGAUAACGUCUGGAAACGGACGCUAAUACCGCAUGACAUAUUUCCAUCGCAUGGUGGAGAUAUCAAAGGAGCAAUCCGCUGAAGGAUGGACUCGCGUCCGAUUAGAUAGUUGGCGGGGUAACGGCCCACCAAGUCGACGAUCGGUAGCCGGACUGAGAGGUUGAACGGCCACAUUGGGACUGAGACACGGCCCAGACUCCUACGGGAGGCAGCAGUGGGGGAUAUUGCACAAUGGGCGAAAGCCUGAUGCAGCAACGCCGCGUGAGGGAAGACGGUUUUCGGAUUGUAAACCUCUGUUCUAAGUGACGAACAAAUGACGGUAGCUUAGGAGAAAGCCCCGGCUAACUACGUGCCAGCAGCCGCGGUAAUACGUAGGGGGCAAGCGUUGUCCGGAAUUACUGGGUGUAAAGGGAGCGCAGGCGGAGAAGCAAGUCAGUGGUGAAAACGAUGGGCUUAACUCAUCGACUGCCAUUGAAACUGUUUCCCUUGAGUGAAGUAGAGGCAGGCGGAAUUCCGAGUGUAGCGGUGAAAUGCGUAGAUAUUCGGAGGAACACCAGUGGCGAAGGCGGCCUGCUGGGCUUUAACUGACGCUGAGGCUCGAAAGUGUGGGGAGCAAACAGGAUUAGAUA
rnacentral:rRNA from 1 species